rnacentral:misc_RNA from 1 species
UAUCCUUUGCAGACGACUUGAAUAGAACGGAGUGCUGUAAGCAGUAGAGUAGCCUUGUUGCUACGAUCUGCUGAGGCUCAGCUCUUGUUCUACAGAUUUGUGCUUUAGCACUCUCUCCGGUUGCACUAGAGUGGGGCAGUGUACUGUACACACUCUCGAGCCAUCGCAGACAGUGACUUGAUGCAUCAGACCCAUGGGUUGUAGCGUCCAAGUUGGUAAGAUAUGGCCUAGGCUGGACUCGGGUUGAAUUCUUGGUAGUAUGGCCACCGAGUGUGGCACUGCCUCAGACUUGAACUUUAAUAGCCCAAUAUAUUAGCCGGCCGGCUGUAUACUACGGCCAAAGUCUUAGUAGCUAGUUAACGGUAGUUUGGAGUGAAGUGCAGCACUUGAUUGUGCUGCAUUGCAAGCUGCCGGCCUGGCAGCCGUGAGGUUUAUAAGCCAUUAAACUGUAUACUAGUAUCUACGGCCAUAGGACUGAGAAAAUACCGCAUCCCGUCCGAUCUUCGAAGUCAAGCUA